GAAACUACGAAAGGACUUGGACGGGGGCCCGCACAAGCGGAGGAGCAUGUGGUUUAAUUCGAUGAUACGCGAGGAACCUUACCUGGGCUCGAACGUAAGAUGACUGUAGGUGAAAGCUUACAUCUCUUCGGAGCAUUUUACGAGGUGCUGCAUGGUUGUCGUCAGCUCGUGCCGUGAGGUGUCGGGUUAAGUCCCAUAACGAGCGCAACCCUACCUUUAGUUGCCAUCAGGUAAUGCUGGGGACUCUAAAGGAACUGCCUACGCAAGUAGUGAGGAAGGCGGGGAUGACGUCAAAUCAGCACGGCCCUUACGUCCAGGGCUACACACGUGCUACAAUGGCCGAUACAGAGGGCAGCUACCUGGUGACAGGAUGCAAAUCUCCAAAGUCGGUCUCAGUUCGGAUCGGAGUCUGCAACCCGACUCCGUGAAGUUGGAUUCGCUAGUAAUCGCGCAUCAGCCAUGGCGCGGUGAAUACGUUCCCGGGCCUU
rnacentral:rRNA from 1 species